CCGUGUGUGAGCCAUACCAGGUGGAGGAGCCUCAAAGUAACUCCAGGCUGGCAUUAGAUGCCAUUGCUGUUUUGCGUUGCUUGUUCAGUUCUGGUCUGGAGUUUCUUCAUGUUGGUAAUUUUAGUUAGUUUGCAGAUUACUUUUGACUGCUAUGGCUGGUUCUACACCUGCAGAAUCAAGAUGACCAAUGGAAAAACUAAAACUUCAAAGGUUCGGAAGUUCGGGGUAGGUUAAAGGGAAACCUCACUUCAAUACAUGGACCAAGAUUUUGGCAAUUACUUUUAAUCUCAACUCUACCACUGAAUUUCAGGGACAAGUAGGAGGCCAAACGGGUUAGUUGAUGUGUAAAAUGUUUUACCUACCUGUGGGAUAUUUCGUAACCCUGUUUUAUAAUGUUUUUUUUAAUAUUGUAUUGUCAUUUACUCGUUUCAAUCAGUUCAAUAUGCGUUGGGCAAGAAACCUGGUGGAGACCGUGGUGCUAUGACAGCAAACAAAAGGACGGUCCAGAGAGGUGGUCGAGCAGUUUCAGCCUCCUGUGACGGUGGAAAUUACCAGCAGACUUUAGUGAUUUGAGUGAACGGGAAACUGCAAUCAAUGUUCGGAAAACAUUCCGGGUGGUUUUGUGAUUCCACGCAGGACGGUCCAGAGAAGACAACAGGCUCCUGCGUUGGGCUCUCUAGGAGCGGCCAAGCAACUGAGAACCUUUCUCAGUACUGCUUUUCAUGUCACGCUGUGAAAGUCUAAUAAAAUGUUAGAAGGCCUGACUGUUGGUUGGUUAACUACAUCUGCUGCUAAUAUGUACUGAACUAAUCCAGUCUUUAUCUGCGCUUUCCCAGUGUGUAAAAAGAUGCAUUCUUGUUAGUGUUUAAAUAUUUCUUGUUUGCUAAAGUACUGUUGUGCUACCACACAGGACGAUUCAGAUAACACUACAGGCUCCUGCUUCAGGGGCAAGCAGCUUUAGCCUCCUGUGGAACUUGCCCUAUGCUCCUGCCAAAUUAGCGAU